rnacentral:tRNA from 1 species
UCCUUCUUAGCUCAGUUGGUAGAGCGCGUCACUAGUAUUCAUACUGUCAAUGACGAGGUCAGUCGUUCAAGUCGGCUAGAAGGAA